rnacentral:rRNA from 1 species
CCUACGGGUGGCAGCAGUAGGGAAUCUUCCACAAUGGGCGAAAGCCUGAUGGAGCAACGCCGCGUGGGUGAAGAAGGUCUUCGGAUCGUAAAACCCUGUUGUUAGAGAAGAAAGUGCGUGAGAGUAACGGUUUCCGUUUCGACGGUAUCUAACCAGAAAGCGACGGCUAACUACGUGCGAGCAGCCGCGGUAAUACGUAGGUGGCAAGCGUUAUCCGGAUUUAUUGGGCGUAACGGGAAAGUAGGCGGUCUUUUCAGUGUGAUGUGAAAGUCUUCGGCCUAACCGGAGUAGUGCAUUGGAGACUGGGAGACUUGAGUGCCGAAGAGGAGAGUGGAACUCCAUGUGUAGCGAUGAAAUGCGUAGAUAUAGGGAAGAACACCAGUGGCGAAAGCGGCUCUCUGGUCUGUAACUGACGCUGAGGUUCGAAAGCGUGGGUAGCAAACAGGAUUAGAUACCCUAGUAGUC